rnacentral:rRNA from 1 species
AGUGAACGCUGGCGGUAGGCCUAACACAUGCAAGUCGAACGGCAGCACAGUAAGAGCUUGCUCUUACGGAUGGCGAGUGGAGGACGGGUGAGGAAAGAAUCGGAAUCUACUUUUUAGUGGGGGCUAAUGUAGGGUAACUUACGCUAAUACCGCAUACGAACUACGGGUGAAAGCUGGGGAUCUUCGGACCUUGCCCGCUUGAUAGAGACGGUGGCGGAUUAGCUGGUUGGCGGGGCAAAGGCGCAACCCGGCGACGAACCGUAGCCGGACUGAGAGGAUGAUCAGCCAGCCUGGAACUGUGACACGGUCCAGACUCCUACAGGAAGCAGCAGUGGGGAAAAUUGGACAAUGAGCGCAAGCCAGAGCCAGCCAUACCGCGUGUCUGAAGAAGGCCUUCUGGUUGUAAAGCCAUUUUUUUGGGAAAGAAAAGCAGCAUGUUAAUACCCCACUGUUCUGACGGUACCCAAAGAAGAAGCACCGGCUAACUUCGUG